AUUGAACGCUGGCGGCAGGCCUAACACAUGCAAGUCGAACGAGCGGAGGACGGGUGAGUAAUGUCUGGGAAACUGCCUGAUGGAGGGGGAUAACUACUGGAAACGGUAGCUAAUACCGCAUACCAUCGGAUGUGCCCAGGUGGGAUUAGCUAGUAGGUGGGGUAACGGCGCACUGAGGCGACGAUCCCUAGCUGGGCUGAGAGGAUGACCAGCCACACUGGAACGGAGACACGGUCCAGACUCCUACGGGAGGCAGCAGUGGGGAAUAUUGCACAAUGGGCGAAAGCCUGAUGCAGCCAUGCCGCGUGUAUGAAGAAGGCCUUCGGGUUGUAAAGUACUUUCAGCGGGGAGGCGUUACCCGCAGAAGAAGCACCGGCUAACUCCGUGCCAGCAGCCGCGGUAAUAC
rnacentral:rRNA from 1 species